rnacentral:rRNA from 1 species
CCUACGGGUGGCAGCAGUGGGGAAUAUUGGACAAUGGGCGCAAGCCUGACCCAGCAACGCCGCGUGAAGGAAGAAGGCUUUCGGGUUGUAAACUUCUUUUAUCAGGGACGAAGCAAAUGACGGUACCUGAAGAAUAAGCCACGGCUAACUACGUGCCAGCAGCCGCGGUAAUACGUAGGGGGCAAGCGUUAUCCGGAAUUACUGGGUGUAAAGGGCGUGUAGGCGGGACUGUAAGCCAGAUGUGAAAGCCAUGGGCUCAACCCGAGGAUUGCAUUUGGAACUGUAGAUCUAGAGUACUGGAGAGGAAGGCGGAAUUCCUAGUGUAGCGGUGAAAUGCGUAGAUAUUAGGAGGAACACCAGUGGCGAAGGCGGCUUGCUGGACAGAAACUGACGCUGAGGCACGAAAGCGUGGGGAGCAAACAGGAUUAGAUACCCGAGUAGUC